rnacentral:rRNA from 1 species
CCCGGUACCUUCAGAGGAAGCCCCGGAUAUUUCUGGGUCAGGAGCCGCGGUGAUACAGAGGGGGCAAGCGUUGCUCGGGAUUUGUGGGUGUAAAGGGGGGGAAGGCGGGAUGGCAACUCGGUAGUGAAAUCCUUGGGUUCAAUGGAAGAAUGUCGGGAGAUACUGGGGUUCUUGAGGGAUUGGAGAGAGAUUGGAAUUCCCGGUGUAGGGGUAAAAUGUGUAAAUAUCGGGAGGAACACCUGUGGUAAAGGCGGGUCUCUGGGCUUUUCGUGACUAUGAGGCAUUAAAGCGUGGGGAGCAAACGGGUUUAGAUUUUUUUUUAGCCCACGGGGUAAACGAUGACGACUAGGUGUGGGGGGUAUUAAGUCCUUUCUGUGCCAUUGUUAAGGUUUUACGUCGUCCUCGUGGGGGGUAGGGUUGCAAGGUUGAAUCUCAAAGGAAUUUGUGGGAUUCUUUUGUUUAUUACU